UACGUAGGGGGCAAGCGUUGUCCGGAUUUAUUGGGCGUAAAGAGCUCGUAGGCGGUUUGUCGCGUCUGCCGUGAAAGUCCGGGGCUCAACUCCGGAUCUGCGGUGGGUACGGGCAGACUAGAGUUCGGUAGGGGAGUCUGGAAUUCCUGGUGUAGCGGUGAAGUGCGCAGAUAUCAGGAGGAACACCGGUGGCGAAGGCGGGACUCUGGGCCGAUACUGACGCUGAGGAGCGAAAGCGUGGGGAGCAAACAGG
rnacentral:rRNA from 1 species